GGAAUUUUGGACAAUGGGCGAAAGCCUGAUCCAGCAAUGCCGCGUGAGUGAAGAAGGCCUUCGGGUUGUAAAGCUCUUUUGUCAGGGAAGAAACGGUUUGGGCUAAUAUCCUGAGCUAAUGACGGUACCUGAAGAAUAAGCACCGGCUAACUACGUGCCAGCAGCCGCGGUAAUACGUAGGGUGCAAGCGUUAAUCGGAAUUACUGGGCGUAAAGCGUGCGCAGGCGGUUUUGUAAGUCUGAUGUGAAAUCCCCGGGCUCAACCUGGGAAUUGCAUUGGAGACUGCAAGGCUAGAAUCUGGCAGAGGGGGGUAGAAUUCCACGUGUAGCAGUGAAAUGCGUAGAUAUGUGGAGGAACACCGAUGGCGAAGGCAGCCCCCUGGGUCAAGAUUGACGCUCAUGCACGAAAGCGUGGGGAGCAAACAGGAUUAGAUACCCUUG
rnacentral:rRNA from 1 species